rnacentral:piRNA from 1 species
UAAGUCUGUUUCCUCAGAGGAGCUAA